rnacentral:rRNA from 1 species
AGUGAACGCUGGCGGUAGGCCUAACACAUACAAGUCGAACGGCAGCACAGUAAGAGCUUGCUCUUACGGGUGGCGAGUGGCGGACGGGUGAGGAAUACAUCGGAAUCUACUUUUUCGUGGGGGAUAACGUAGGGAAACUUACGCUAAUACCGCAUACGACCUACGGGUGAAAGCAGGGGAUCUUCGGACCUUGCGCGAUUGAAUGAGCCGAUGUCGGAUUAGCUAGUUGGCGGGGUAAAGGCCCACCAAGGCGACGAUCCGUAGCUGGUCUGAGAGGAUGAUCGGCCACACUGGAACUGAGACACGGUCCAGACUCCUACGGGAGGCAGCAGUGGGGAAUAUUGGACAAUGGGCGCAAGCCUGAUCCAGCCAUACCGCGUGGGUGAAGAAGGCCUUCGGGUUGUAAAGCCCUUUUGUUGGGAAAGAAAAGCAGCAGGUUAAUACCCCGCUGUUCUGACGGUACCCAAAGAAUAAGCACCGGCUAACUUCGUG